AUGCGUUUGUCCCAUUGUACAUGGUCCCUGUUGGCAUCAUUUCUUUCAUCUGUACUCAGACAUGUAAAAUGACUUCCAUUCAGCUAGCCUUGAUCAAUUUGUAGACAAACAAAAGAGAAAACGUAGUUAAUAAUCCAGAUAGAAAAAUGGCUUCAUGGCUGGUUUAAACUACUUCUUAGGAAGUUUAUCAUUCUCUAGCCUCUACGAGGAACUAAAUGGCAAAGAAAUCAAAUUGCAUUAGUUUGUCCAUUGUAUAUAUUGUUUAGUUUCACAGUUCAGAUUUUGUCACUUCUUAUUUACUCCAAAGUAGAAAAAACACCUGUACAAGUUUUAGGAUGGGAAUGAGAGGCAGUUAAGAAGCAAAACUGUUUAAAAGACAUAGGGCGUGUUCUACCCUCCUUGGAGAUUUAUUUUUGGACCACACACUUUGAGGAAUUCUGACCAGGCAGGGCAGGUCCAAAGAGAGGGCCCCGGUAAAUGAGGAGUUUGGAGACCAUGUGGGAGAAAGAACUGAGGAUGUGCAAGCUGAGGAUGAGAAUUAUGGAGGUAAGGAGGCCACAGUAGCUUUCUUCCAGGACUCUUAGAUUAGGGAUCAAAUUUGUCUGUGAGGACAAGUGAGGCCAAUAAAUGAAAGUUAUAGAGAAGAAGGGUCCAGCCCAUUUUGAGGAAGAUAUUUCAAAGCUGUCAGCCUGCCGUGGAAAGAACUGGAUGGCCUCAUGAGGCAGAGUCCUUGGUCACUGAAUGUGUUUCAUAUGUCAGCCAAAUGAUUACUUAAAACUCCUUCAAAUCUAACUGUGACUCUUAAACUACUAAAUGCUUCUCUGAACAAAGAACAAUUAAGCUCUUCAAAAACAGCACCAAGUAAAAUUUAGAACAAGUUUUAUCUUAGCUCUUCAGGACUGGGUAUGCCUUAUACUCUGGCAUACAAUAAAUUGGGGAUAGGGGGCAUACAUGAGAAAUGAAAUUAAAAGUUCAUCAGAUGAAAAUGUUUUCCAAAGCAGAGUUUAAGGAUAGUUUUACCUUAUUGUUUAUUUAAAACCAGAGGGCCAGAAAAAUGUCCAGCUUUAAGUUCAGAGGUUUAAAAGGUUCAGAGGUUUAAAAGGUUCAGAGGUUUAAAAGUUUACACUGCUACCAAAAAAUAAAAGCAAGUGGGCACUGUGGUCCCAUAUACUUGAUAGGCUAAGGCAGGAGAAGAUCCGUGGAGGCUGGGAAUAUGAGUCCAGCCGGACAACAUAGCCUGUCUCUUAAAAAAUAAAAAAGUAAAAGCAUGAUUAGAAUCCAUUUCUAACUGGCAUCUCCAUGCCUUUUAAAAAAGUCUUAAUACAAAUUUAGAAUAGGAUCAUAAAUAGGUAUAUUUACUCUUAUGAAUGAAACAAGGACCCUUAGGGAGGAGAUGGCAAAAAGUGUAAUUGUGAGUCCUUUUUUUAAAUGACCACUUUAACCAAUUAGAAGUUUUCAUAAAUCAAGGUUUUUAUUUUUGAUAAGUGCUACAUCAGUAUGUGAGAUAGCUUUGCUUAGUGAGCCUUGUGAUGGGGUAUGUAAAUGAAAAGCAUUUGUGAAACAGUAACUGGGGGGAUGAUAUAAUAAGAGUUUUAUUGGCUGGGUACGGUGGCUGUCGCCUGUAAUCCCAGCACUUUGGGAGGCCGAGGCGGGCGGAUCACGAGGUCAGGAGAUCAAGAUCAUCCUGGCUAACAUGGUGAAACCUCUUCUCUACUAAAAAUACAAAAAAUUAGCUGGGUGUGGUGGCGGGUGCCUGCAGUCCCAGCUACUCAGGAGUCUGAGGCAGGAGAAUGGUGUGAACCCGGGAGGCGGAGCUUGUAGUGAGCCCGAGAUUGCGCCACUGCACUCCAGCCUAGGGGACAGAGCGAGACUCCGUCUCAAAAAAAAAAAAAAAAAAAAAAAAGUUUU